rnacentral:tRNA from 2 species
GCCCUCGUAGCUCAGGGGAUAGAGCAAUGGUUUCCGGAACCAUGUGUCGGAGGUUCGAAUCCUUCCGGGGGCGCCA